rnacentral:lncRNA from 1 species
UUAUCUUGCAACAACUUAACUGGUCAUAUCCCACCAGAAUUAGGGAACUUAAGUGAAAUCUAUUCUUUAAACUUGUCGCAUAAUAAGUUGACAGGAGUUAUACCCUCAUCAUUCGCAAAACUUCAUCAAAUUGAGAGUUUGGACCUUUCUUACAACAAUUUGAGUGGUGAAAUCCCCAAUCAGUUGGUAGAGUUGAACUCUUUGGAGGUUUUCAACGUGGCAUACAACAACUUGUCAGGUAGUAUUCCCGAACCAAAAGCUCAAUUUGGGACCUUUAUUGAAAACAGUUAUGAGGGAAAUCUUUUUCUUUGUGGAGCUAUAUUGCAUAAAAGUUGUUCCAAAACCGAUUCACCAUCAACGAUAUCAACUCUAUCAGAAUAUAAAGGAGAAGAUGGUUUGAUAGGUACUUAUGAUUUUUGUGUGAGCUUUUUGGUUUCUUAUGUAGUUGUGUUGUUGACCAUUUUUGUUGUCCUCUACAUAAAUCAAUACUGGCGAAGAGUUUGGUUUUCUCUCAUUGGGAAAUGCAUCACCACCUGUCGCUACUCAAAUGUGGGCAAUUUUCUUACUUAUCACAUUUUCAAGCAAUGAGUUUAGCUACUCAAAUUGUAAUUUGAUUUUCACACCUAAAUGUUUAAUUAUGCUAAGUUGAGCGAUAAUGAAUAUUUUGUUGAUUUUUGCAUUUUAAAUAAAAGCUCUUUGAUCUUAUGAUUUUAUCAUUUUCAACCAUCUAUUUCUUUUUUCUUCUAUGAAAUUUAAUGUAAAAUCAUAAUCCAUUAUUAUGUAUAUGCAAUAUCUCUUUGAAUUAAAUUAAAUUGAAUACCAAGCGUUCACUAGUGCAUACUGAAAAGGAAAUCUAAUGUAAAAUUAAACCAAACAUACUAGAAAAAUGAAUCUGAAACUGAAAUAUUUUAAAACCUCAAAAACAAUGCAAUUCUUUAUUCCUCUUUUCCUUUCAAGUUAUUUUGUAUCAUGUUAUAUUUUACAUAAUCAUUCAUAUCAUCAAAUUUUAAAAAAUAUUUAAUAUUUUGAUAUCAUGUUCAUAUUAUGCUUUAAUUCACAAUGUAUUUUAUACAAUAUGUUAUAACAAUUCAAUUUAAAAAACAAGCAAUGAUCUUAUUUUUGCAUACCGUAUUAUACAUUUACAUGUUAAUAAUUCAUUGUACGUAAAUUUUGACAUGUUUGCAUAUUUGAGUCAUUAUAAUUUUAUUAUUUGUAAUAUGACAUGUUUUAAUUACCCUUAAUAUUGUGUCAUGAUAAUUAUAACUCGAUUGGCACCAAAUAAUUUUUCUAAUAAAAAAUAGUAUUUUAUUCUAUUUACCAAAUCUUUAUCAACUUUAUAUUCUCACCAACAAAACAUACAUUCAAAGUUCAAAUAAGUUCCACACCCAUUUCUUUACUGCAAUACUCAAGAAUAUGCUCAUCAUCAGAAAUCUGAAAUAUUCCACUCUAAUUAACAUUACGAUUCUGUAAAAACCAAAAAUGUGUGAUCCUUUUUUAAAGCUCUUUUUUUUUUCCUUUAAUGAAAUGGGAUUGGUAAAAAAUCCGCACAUGUGUCGUGUGUGAAGAAGGUGAGGUUGUCUAUUCAUUCUCUAAUAAGUAGCUAAUUAUAGUUGAUCCUACAAAAUCAAAAUUAAUUCAGGUAUCUUUAUAUUCUGAAGACUGGACAGACCUUAGAAGCUUCUUCAAAUUUGCAAGAACAUGUCGUGGUCCUAAACUCUUUACACCGAUGAAAUUCAAAAGUUGCUCUAUAUUCUGCAAUCACAGUAAAGAUUAUGCAGUCAUUUCAGAACGAAUAACAUAACAAGCAAAAGGCGAUCAAAAUACCGUGAUCUCGAUAAUGUUCUUUGCCGAAAAGGAACAUUAACUUAACCUUAAAACAUCAGUGAAGGCUCAUCAGAUUUGCUUAGCAACCUCACAUACACAUGUAAAAAGCUUUGCUUUUGGAUGUAAGGUGUGACUAUCAUUACAGUCUUUUCUAAUUAGCUGAUAACCCUGUAUCUAACAUUUAUCAGGGCUAAGCAAAUUAACAUACAUGAUGUAAAGGAAUUUGACUAUAAGAUCCAACAGAAAACUUAAUAAACGAUAAUCAACAUAGAAAGAAGGCAAUGCAAACUUAUUACAAUGAUGCAAGCGGAUCAAAAGAAAGCACUUCUAUAGGGAAUUUGCAUUUAAGGCAUCGUAAACAGAAAAAAAAAUGAUAAAACUUUUUGGAAAGUAUUUUCAAAGAGGAGACAAAAACAGGGUAGAAACAAUGUUUGGUUCUUCCUUUUUCUAUUUACAAUUUUAGGGUGCAUUCUCUACUGUUGUGAAAAAGCCUUUUUGGGUUAAAAGUGUUUUUACACUGCAGAAGUGUUUUUCCACUGCAGAAGUGAUGAACAACACAUAGCUGUUGUAGUCAAAAACUGUUUUUGGCUUUUGCAUUCAAAAGAGAAAAUUAUCAAAAUACUAUUAUUUUCAUUAACUAUUUAAAAGGUAUAUAAAAAUUAGAUUAAUUUAUAUUUUAUAUAUUAUUAUAUUAAAUUGUUUAAAUCUUAUUUAUUAUUAUAUUUAAUUUUUUCAAAAUAUUUUAUAUAUUAUCAAUUUUACAACUAAUUAACAAAAUAUUUUACUAGGGAAUACGUAUAUGUGAAUAUCUAUAAAUGGCAUGCCUGGAUAUGCAUAUCCUUUGAUAUCAAAUAUUUUGAAAAAAAUAUUAUCAAUUCCACUGAUAUAUUAUCAAUUCCACUGAUAUAAAGCUCUUUAUAUUACCAAUAUAAAUAUAAAUAUUUUGAAUAUAAAUAUCCAUUGAUAUAUUAUCAAUUCCACUGAUAUAAAGCUCUUUAUAUUAUAAAUAUUUUAUAUUUUUUUUCAAAAAUAUGGAUAUGCAUAUCCUUUGAUAUCAAAUAUAAAGGUAAUAUUUAUAGGAAUUGUUUUUUAAUUAGAUAUUUUUAUAUAUCAGUGGAAUUGUCAAAAUAUUUUCAUUAACUAUUUAAAAGGUAUAUAAAAAGAGCUUUAUAUUGCCUCAAGCGCAAGGCACAAAAUGAAGCGCUAGCCUGUGUGCAGUAAAGCGCAAUACGUAUAUGUGAGAGUUUUUGCAAGUCUGUGUGUCUAUAACAUAAAAGUUUAAGAUAUAUAGUAAACUCUAAAGUGUGGUCUGGUUUAUCCACAAAACUUGAAAUUUUUUUAUAGGUGAAUGCUCAAAUAUUGAGAAUUAUAGAGUUUGAUAUUAUCCCUUCCUUAUUAGUAAAGGUAUAUCAAAUGAAAACAGUGAAAAAUAAAAUAAAUUAUUGAGAAAUUCAACAAGGCAGGUUUUUCUAAUGCCCAUUGCCUUACAAAAAAAGUGUGCCUAGGUGCACCAGGCAUGCGCUUGAUCAAAUGGACCUCACCUGGAAGGGUCCAAGGCGUUUUGUUGUAUAAAACUAAGGCGUAGGCAUGCCUAGGCGCAUGCCUUGACGACACUGACCAUAUGUUGGCUUUAUUGCAAAGCAUUAGCAAUUCAAAACUACUAGCACAUUACCUAAUCUACUACUGCUAGAAUAGGACUCAAGUUCUUGCUCCUGUGCAGGUCCAACCAAGAUCUUUACAGGAUACAGUAAUGAAACUUGUGAUAUCAUAUAUUGUUGCCUUGCUCGAAGCUUCCUUUGCACAUUUUUAAGUUUAACACAACCCCUUUCUUCAGUGAGUAAUCUAUUUGCUUCCUGUGAUAAAAACAACAUAUAAUCAAUCAUGCCAUGCAUGCAAGACUACCAACCAUCUUAAAAAAGAGACAAAGAAGUAGGACAGCAAGAAGGGGAUAACCCUUGACUAUGCAAAGGAAUUCAUAGAAUGAGAAUCAUCUCAUCUAAGCCCCUCAACCACCUUCACAGGGGGUGGAGCUGCAAAAAGAGAUGUCUUAUUGAUCCAAGAGGAGAAUAAAUAACAUCUAAAGCUGAAUAAGAAGAAACCUUCAAAUGUAUCAUAAAUUCAGCAUUCAUGAUAAUAUCAAAAUGAAAUUCCAAAGCUAAUUUAAGCUAGAAUAAAAAUGCUUCACCUGUAAUCGCUUCCUUGCUACAGAAAGAGAGGUACCAGCAACCAACAAUGAUCUUACUUCAGUACUAAGCAUUUCCUCCUGUUUUUUAGCAUCCUCUGUUGCAACUUUGCAACGAGUUGACAUUUUGCCAUAACUACUUUCCUUGCCUCUAGUCUCUCACGCAUUUCCUCAAGCUCGUUCAGUUUAUUCAAAGACUCAUUUUUUACCUGCACAGCAUGUUCCCGCCCAUUAAUCAGUGGGCCAAUUGAUUAGGUCACAGAAGACAAAACUAAAUUACCACUCACCAGGUCCCCUUGAAGUGUCAUAUGGCUUUAACAAUUCAACGUGCAAUAUCUAGUAAAAGUAAAAUAAACAUAGAAGAAAGCAAAUGCAAUUCUUAAACGCCUUUAAAUGGACAACAUGAAACAGUUUAAGAGCCCUAUAAAACAGUAAAGUGGAAAAAAAAUCUGAAAAGGAAAAAGAAAUGAAUUGAAACAAUAAAUCCAUCAGGUACAAACAGCAACAAAACUUGAAAUAAGCUUUGGCUUUAGCCCAUUAAAGCCCGGGCAUCCAGCCAAAUAAACAGUGACUGCCAUGUCAACUUUUUGAGACGGUAGAAAAGAGAUCGAAAAUCUCAAUUUCCAAAAAUAAGGACAUAAGAAGUAAAAAAAUGCACUUAUUCUUACAGUAGAAGAGCAAAAUGAAACUAAAUGAAGCAUAAGGGAACUGAUGCGAAUUGACAUUGUCAUUUUUGGGACUAAAAAGAAUACGCAGAUUGAAUAUUUAAGAUUUGGAAGGGAAAAGUUCCAUUCACCAACACAAUUAUCGUCGCCCUUCAUCCUAGUAAAGCUUAAUUGACAAUUUUUCUGUCUCGUGUUCUUGCUAAAGCAUUUGAGCAACCCAACAGAAAUCAUUAUAUUUCAAACUGAAAUGAUUGGCUUUAUCAAUUUCACAACCUAUACCGCCCAACCUAGUAAGUAAUUUAGGUGCAGACACCAGAAAUCUAUUUCCUUUGCACUCUACAACUAAAUAGCCUACCACUUAUCAAUCAAACACAGCUGAAAACUUCAGUGAGGAAACAUUAUGAAAACUGAAAAAACUAUAACUUCAACUUGAUUCAUAGCUCGGCAAGUUCAGGGAAUUGGGACUUCUACCACCAUGAUCCAGUUCGAUGUGAAACAGUGAUCUAUAUCACGCAUAUCGGUUCCCGCAACAAGAGGUAAAACAGCAAAUUAGGUAAACGAUGAUCCUACUAUAUUUCAGAAUAGCAACAUUGAGCAUGAAAGCUAAAGUUAUAGCAUAUUAUGGGUCCUUGCUCUCUACAACUACAUAUAAAAUUACUAAACAAUAUUACUACAUUAAGGAUCCAGAAAAACUUUGUUUCAAUUGUUGAUCACUUGAUCCAACUAUUUUAGAAAGUUUAUUCUUCUUUUUCCUUUCCCUUAUUUUCUAAAUCAGGAAAAACAGUAGCACAUAAACUGGAUUACUACUCCAAGUUUCUAAAAUUUCAGCAAUAUCCCUUUAACCUUUUCACUCAAGUCACUACCCCCCCAAUUAACAAAUAUAUUCCCAGUUUCCCUUUCACUUCAAACCCCCUUUUUUUUUUCUCUACCCAAAUUCAGCUUAAGUUCAAAAACCCAAAAUUGGUUUGCUAAAAAUACAUAAUUUUCAAACACAAAGGUAACCUAAUUUUAAUCAGAAAAAAAAAGCAUUACCUGAAUUAGUGAAUGGAGUUUCUCUUGAAGACUUUGUUUUAAAACUAUCUUAUACUAUUUGCUUUAAAUCGAUUUUUAUUAGCUAUUUAAAACUCGUUUUCAUGUAUUAUUUAUUUUUUUAUCACUUAUUUAAAUUGUUUUACAUAUCUAUUUUUUAAACCCUAUUUUAUUAUAUUUUACUUAUUUUAACUUUUUUACAUAUUUCAUUAUAAAUAUUAUUAAUUAUCUAUAUUGAGUUUUUCAUUCCAUAUGUAUUACUUAUUUAGAUAAAUAUAUACUAUUUUGUGUAUUACUUAUUUUGAUUUUCUUCUUAUACAAUAUUACUUUAAAAUUCAUUUAGAUAUUAUUAUUUCACGUAGUAUUUAUUUUUAUCUUCAUUUUUUAUUUAUUUCAAACUCAUAUAUUGUUUAUUUUGAAAUUUUAUGCAUAUGAUUUAUUGUUUAUAUUGAUGAUUUUAAAUUUCCUUUCUUGCAUGUUUUUUUUAUUUAUUUUAAAACUUGUUAUACUUUAUUUGUGUUAAUUUGCUUAGUUUUUCUUUCAAAAUUAACUUAUAAUUCAUUAGCUUUUAAUGUUAGUAUUUGCACAAUAUGUGAUGUAAGAUUAUUGCUUUCCUGUAUUGCUUAUCUGUAUAUAUUGAUUAUUUGUCAUUCAUUAGUAUACAUUUUGGUUUACGAAUUGACUAAUUUACCAAAAAAAGCCAUUUUUUUAUAAAUUACCGAAAUAGGCCGGUUUUUUAAUUAUUUACCGGAAUGGGCCAUUUCCCCCGAAAUCGCGCCACGUCGAAGCGAUGUCAGGGGACGGGGCAGAAGGUCGCGUCCACGUCAGAGCGACCUACUGACGUGGAAGGAAAUCGCUCCCCUGAGGGCGCGAUUUCCUUCCACGUCAGCAGGUCGCGCUGACGUGGACGCGACCUCCUGUCACUUUGCGCGGUACCGGGAAUGCGAUUUUGACCCUGAUUUUUACGCCUAGGUUUUAUGGCUUUUAGGGUUUAGGGUGCAGGCUUUUUAGGAGUUAGGGGUCCGGGAAAAUUAUUUUUCGAGUUGACGUUUCUGGUUAAAUAGUGGGAAAUCGCUUAUACUAGGAUGCUAUUUAAGAAGAAAUUGUGAAAUAGUGGCCUCGUGGACGCGAUUUCGCUACAGUGGUCAUGUGAGAAAUAAUUUUUUUAGACGUUUUCUGAGGAAAUAGUAUAAAAUCGCUGAUACCAGGAUGCUAUAUGAGAAGAAAUUGUGAAAUCGCGCCCUCGUGGACGCGAUUUCGCUACAGUUGGUCAUGUAGGAAAUAAUUUUUUUUGACGUUUCUGAGUAAAUAGUGUCAAAUCGCGCCCUCGUGGACGCGAUUUCGCUACAGUAGCAAGUUUGGGCUGAGGUUAUAAAUUAGGCAGAGAAUUUUCUUAGAAUGCAUAACUCAGAGCAGAAACAUUUUAGGUUAGGGUUAGGGAAUUUAGAGUUUCAAAAUGAGUGAAUGUAUUAGUGCUGUUAUUUACUACGAUGGUGAGGUUUGCCACACCGAGAAUGGUGUUGUUUUUUUGUCGAAGAAUACGAUGCGACUGUCAUUUAGCCAAAACAUAGAUUUGACAGAACUCCGUAAAAGAAUUAGGCGUAAAAUCUUCGGAACCACGCCAAUGAAAGUUCAGUCAAUGACGUAUCGAUUUUGUUCUUCUGUUGAUUCGGUGACAUAUGACUCGUUCGACAUAAAAGGUGCUCGUAGCUUAGAGGCAAUGGUGCAGACUCAUCUUGCUAGCGGAGCAACUUAUAUUGAGUUAUAUGUACAAUUUACGUCACCAAAUGAUGUACUUUCGUCCGGUGUUCGAGAUGUAUACACGACCCCUGGCCGACACUCGGUUAGUGUGUUACAAAAUACGGAACAGCCCAUGUUCGGUAGCGGUGUCGAAUGCACAUCCCCCCAAGACACUCUGUCGGUGGAUGGGACAUGUACGUCGGUGGCUCGACGGUUGACGCUGGAAAUACGAGCUGGUACGUUCAUUCUCUUAUUUUAUUUUAUUUCAUAUUUUGGGAAAUUUAGAACGAUAAGCGAAAAUGAAUAUAUUCAGAUUAGCAGGGGACAUGACCCAUUUGUUUAGUGUUCUUGUUUUGCUUCUUAAGAUCCACACAAUCAAGUCUUGUGCUGGUACGUUCAUUUUCCAAAUAUUUACUUUACUUUUUGUUUCUGGGCUUAUUUCAUUUUAUGUUGUACUUUUUUCCCAGUAAUUUACUGCUUAAUAUAAAAGAAUCGAAUAUUUAGGUUAAAUUGUGGGUGGGUUUUUGCUAGUUUAUUGAAUACUCAAAUUGGAGCCAUGUAAAAUGUGGAAACUUUAGCUUGAUAGAAAAUGUGACCCCCUUUUUUUUUAAUGUAUGGAAUAAAAAUUUUUGUAUUUUGUGAAUUUUUUUUUAGUAAUUUGAAUUUGUAUGUAUGUUCAUUGGAAGUUUAGAAGCAAGGAGUUCUGAUCAUUAGGACUUUAUGUGAUUCAUUCAUUUUGAGUUAUAGUGUAGUUAGUUGUUGGAUUUAGUGUCACUGUUGGCAUCUUAUUUUAGCUGAUUUCCUUUCUAUUUGUACCGAUAAACCUCUAGAGGUUUUGAAAUUAGCAACUGAUUUUUUUUAUGUGUGAGAGUUUUUAUGGAAAUCAAUAAGCUAAUUACAUUUUGCAGGAUCAUACAGUCGGGUUAGUGGUUUUUAUGUCAUGCUGGCCUAUGGUUUUGAGAUGAACAUCAUGAAAUCUGUAUAAGAUGAGGGUAUUAAACUAUAAACAUAGCCGAGGUAGCGAUUUAUUUCGUAUCAUGCUAUUGGAAGUUUUUUUGGGGCGGCAAUGUCAACUAAAUUUAUAUUCUUUUGAUCAAGUCGAUUAUUUCCAGUUGCACAACUAGCUUGUUGGAAAUAUUUUCUUUCUUUGCUCCUGUCCUUUUCACUUUCAUAUUUUAUGGGUGGUGUGAUGAUGGGAAGAUUCAUGGGUGGCUAAAGCCAUCUUACUCACUAGAAGUGAGGCUGUUAUUUUUAGAAGUUAGAGAUGCUAUAUCAAUUGAGGAUGCCGUGAGCAAAAGCUUGCUAAUAAUAAGUGACUGUUCAUAUGCGUGGGUUCUAUCACAUGUUGAUGGAGUAUUUGGUGCUCUUUCUUCACUAAUUUCAUAUGUAUAGAUAUAAUUGUAUAACAUCUCGACGUUGAUUACUGUUACGAGGGGAAAAAAACACAGCAUGUAAUGAAACUCAAAAAGUAGGAAUCCUAGAUCCUUGUAUUCAUUCAUAGGCAUUUUACAACAUUUGAUUUAACUUGAGCAAGAUUCCGUUUUGGGCCUGGUCUUUUCCUGUUCGUUCCCUUGUUUAUAUAUGAUGAAGUUGGUUCAGCAUGCAGGAAACUCGACAGCAUGCAGGCCAUGAAGACCAAGUCGUGCAGGAGCUGCUGGAACGAGCUGAACUUUUCCUAUUUUGUUCAUCUAGUAAUCUUAAGUUAAUGUAAUGUACUUUAGUUCAUUUAGAACUAUGUUAGGUUUAUGAUUGAUGUAAUUUUGAUGACAAUUGAGCUGUUAAGUCAGCUUUGUUUAAGUGUGUAAGCUUAGUUUUUCAAGUUUCAAUGUAUUAGUGGUAGUAGGUGAUGAUUAGGUAUCAUUAUGCAGAUUUUGACAAGCAAAUUGCUUGGUUUAUGUAUUGGCAUUAUGCCAUUGUUCAACAUAUGAAUGAAAUCAACUUUGUUCAUCAAUAUUCUCUCAAAUUUCCUCAGCUUAUUUUCUUUUUUCUUCAACUCGAAAUUGUUUGUUUGCUCAGCAAGAUUCGAGGCUUGCUCGACAAGAAACUUGCUGAGUCUGUUUGAUUCUGCUGUUGCACCAACAAUUGGUAUCAGAGCUUAUUUCUUAAGGGACCUGUUAUACAAAUCCAUGGCUUCAUCAAGUUUUUCACCAGCUGCACCUCAAGUCUUCAAUGGAGAAGGCUAUCACAUAUGGGUGGUCAAAAUGAAGACCUACCUGCAGGCAUUUGAUCUGUGGGAGGUGGUCAACUCUGAUGUUGAACCAGAGCCACUUAGAGCUAAUCCAACAGUGGCUCAGAUCAGGCAGCAUGCUGAUGAAAGGACCAAGAGGCACAAUGCUAUGUCUUGCAUCCAAAACUCAGUGUCUGAUGUGAUUUUCACAAGGAUUAUGGCCUGUGAAUCACCAAAACAGGCCUGGGACAAGUUGCAGGAAGAGUUUCAAGGGACUGAGAGGACAAGGCAACAACAGUUGUUAAACUUGAGGAGAGAUUUCGAGAAUUUGAAGAUGAAGGAAGAAGAAACUGUCAAGCAAUAUUCUGACAGGAUUAUGGCUGUGGUUAACAGCAUCAGGCUCCUUGGAGAGCAGUUCAAUGAAGCUAGGAUAGUGGAGAAGGUUAUAGCAACUCUGCCUGAGAGGUAUGAGGCAAAAAUCUCAUCUCUCGAGGACUCAAGGGACCUGUCCACCAUCUCCCUGACAGAGUUGAUCAAUGCUCUAUAUGCUCAAGAGCAGAGGAGAGCAAGCAGACUGGAGGAGCACCAAGAAGGUGCCUUUCAGGCAAGAACAAAUACUUCCUACAAAGGCAAGAAGGCUUGGAGAGACAAGCCAAAGGAUGAUGCUGCAAGGAGAGAAGGUCAAACUUGCAAGCACUGCAGAAAGGCUGGUCAUUCAGAAGAAAAAUGCUGGUUUAAUCCAGAUGCUGUGUGUCAGCAUUGUAAGAAAAAGGGCCAUGUUGAGAGAGUUUGUAAGAGCAAUGCCAAAACAAGGCGCAAUCAGGCUCAACAGAUGAAAGCUGAGGCUCGAGUAGCUAAGGAGGACAGUGACCAAGAGGAGCAAGUCUUUACUGUGUCAUGCUCAGCUGCUCAGGAAAGGUCCUCAUCUGGUUGGCUCCUAGACAGUGGAUGCACCAACCACAUGACACCUGAUGCUGCAAUCUUCAAGUCUUUAGACAGAAGCUGCAGAACUAAAGUCAAGAUAGGAAAUGGUCAUUUUAUUCAAGCUGAAGGCAAGGGUGAUGUUCUGAUAUGCACUCUUACAGGUACCAAAGUGAUUUCAAAUGUGCUGUUGGUGCCUGAAAUUGACAGAAACCUGCUCAGCAUAGCUCAGUUGCUGGAAAAAGGUUACUUAGUUGUGUUUAAAGACCACCAAUGCCAAAUCAGUGAUCCAAGUGGAUCCAAACUGAUGGCAGUCCCUAUGGCUGAUAAGAGCUUUGUGGUUGACUGGACAAAAAAGUCAGACAUUGCCUACACAGCCACUUCAGAUGAAUCCAAGCUGUGGCAUCAAAGACUGGGACAUGCCAACUUCAGAUCGAUGGCCCGAAUGAUCAGAGAAGACCUGGCUGAAAACUUCAUCAACUCAGUAGACCAUGAUGAUGUAUGUGAAGUAUGUCAGCUAGGAAAGCAGGCCAGACUCCCAUUUCCCUCGAAUCAAGCCUAGAGAGCCUCUGAAAAACUCCAACUGGUGCAUACUGAUGUGUGUGGACCUAUGAAGACUGAGUCAUUAAGUGGAAACAGGUAUUUCAUACUGUUCAUUGAUGAUUUCUCGAGAUAUUGCUGGAUUUACUUCUUAAAACAGAAAUCAGAGGUGGCCACUGUGUUUUGGAAGUUCAAAACUGCUGCUGAGACUGAAACAGGCUGCAAGGUGAAGACCAUAAGGUCUGAUAAUGGGACUGAGUACACCUCAGCUCAGUUCCAAGCCUUCUGUGAUAAGGCAGGCAUCAAACAUCAACUUGCCAACACAUAUACACCUCAGCAGAAUGGGGUAAGUGAAAGGAAGAAUAGGAGUUUGAUGGAUAUGGCCAGGUGCUUGAUGAUUCAGAAGAAUCUGCCUAAAGCACUAUGGGCAGAAGCAGUUAACACUGCAACAUACAUUCAAAAUAGACUUCCAACCAGGGCUUUGGAUCAAAAGACCCCAUUCGAGGCCUGGUUUAGCUUCAAGCCAUCACUGGCUCAUCUGAAGGUCUUUGGAUGCAUCUGUUAUGCACAUGUACCUGCUGUUAAAAGGGACAAAUUGUCUGAAAGGGCUCGACCUGGUGUUUUGGUGGGCUAUAGCACUGUUAAGAAGGGCUAUAGGAUUUUAGAUCCUUCAACAAACAAAGUGUCAGUAAGCAGGGAUGUGGUAUUUGAUGAGAGGUCAUGUUGGAACUAGGAAAGACAUGAACCUGAAGAAGUUUUUGAAGAACUUGCAGCAGACCAAGCUGAGCCAGACCAAGAUGUCCCUGAAAUGGAUAUUGAUGAUGAACCAGUCAGAGGAACAAGGCCAUUGGCUGAAAUUUAUGAAAGGGCUCAUGUAGCCAUAGUUGAACCAAGCAACUUUGAAGAGGCUGAGGCUCAGCAAGGGUGGAAGCAGGCAAUGGCUGAGGAGAUCAGCAUGAUUGAGAAGAACCACACCUGGAAAUUGGUUGAAAGGCCAGUCAAAAGGAAAGUGAUUGGGGUGAAAUGGGUGUACAAAGCCAAGCAGAAUGCUGAUGGUACCUUGAACAAGCUGAAAGCAAGGCUAGUUGUCAAGGGGUUCAGUCAGAGGUAUGGCUUGGACUACCUGGAGACCUUUGCACCAGUGGCCAGGCUCGACACCAUCAGACUGCUGAUUGCCUUAGCAGCACAGCUUGAAUGGAAGAUCCAUCAACUUGAUGUGAAAUCAGCUUUUCUGAAUGGUUUCUUAGAUGAAGACAUCUAUGUUGAACAACCACAAAGGUUUGAAAUAGCUGGCAGAGAGCAUAUGGUCUACAAACUGAAAAAGGCCCUAUAUGGAUUAAAGCAGGCUCCAAGGGCCUGGUAUAGCAGAAUUGAUGGCUACUUGACUGAUCUAGGAUUCGAUCGAAGCAAGAGUGAGCCAACACUGUAUGUCAAGAAACAAGGGACACAAAUACAACUCAUUGUGUCCCUGUAUGUUGAUGAUCUUCUGGUGACAGGAGGAGAUCGAGUAGUGCUGGCUGAUUUUAAGACCAAGAUGCAGGAAGUGUUUGAAAUGUCUGAUCUUGGGGAGAUGUCAUACUUUCUUGGAAUGGAGGUGUCUCAAGUAUAGAAUGAGAUAUUUCUAAGCCAGAGAAGCUUUGCCACAAAGAUUCUGACCAAGUUCUCCAUGCAAAACAGCAAGGCAACUAAAACACCUAUUGCUGUUGGAGAAAAACUAUCGAGCCAAGGUGAUUUUAAGAAAGUUUGUGAAACAACCUACAGGAGUCUAGUUGGUUGCUUGCUAUACUUGACUGCCACUAGACCAGACAUUAUGUAUGCUGUAGGAUUGCUCUCAAGGUUCUUGCAUUGCUGCAAUGAGAAGCAUUUCCAAGCUGCAAAGAGAGUGCUGAGAUAUGUCAAAGGCACUUUAAACUAUGGUUUGAAGUACAGUAAAGAAGGAAAUCUGAAGCUGAUUGGCUACACUGAUAGUGACUGGGCUGGCUCGAUAGAUGACAUGAAAAGCACCUCAGGGUAUGCUUUUAACCUUGGUUCAGCCAUGUUUUGUUGGAGCUCAAAGAAGCAAAGUCUAGUAGCUCAAUCUACUGCUGAAGCAGAGUAUGUGGCAACAGCAAGUGCUAUCAACCAAGCCAUAUGGCUAAGAAAAAUAUUGGCUGACUUGAAUGUGCAUCAAGAGCAAGCUACUGAGAUCUUCUGUGACAACCAAUCUGCAGUAGCAAUUGCUAAAAAUCCAGUGUUCCAUGGAAGAACAAAACAUUUCAGCAUAAAGUUGCAUGUUGUUCGAGAAAUGGAGCAAGCUCAGGAAGUAAAGCUGGUCCACUGUAAUUCAGAAGAUCAACUUGCUGACAUUUUAACCAAAGCUCUUAGUGUCACAAGGUUUGAAUAUCUAAGAAAGAAGCUAGGUGUUUGCUCCAUGCAAACCAAGGAGGAGUGAUGAAGUUGGUUCAGCAUGCAGCAAACUCGACAGCAUGCAGGCCAUGAAGACCAAGUCGUGCAGGAGCUGCUGGAACGAGCUGAACUUUUCCUAUUUUGUUCAUCUAGUAAUCUUAAGUUAAUGUAAUGUACUUUAGUUCAUUUAGAACUAUGUUAGGUUUAUGAUUGAUGUAAUUUUGAUGACAAUUGAGCUGUUAAGUCAGCUUUGUUUAAGUGUGUAAGCUUAGUUUUUCAAGUUUCAAUGUAUUAGUGGUAGUAGGUGAUGAUUAGGUAUCAUUAUGCAGAUUUUGACAAGCAAAUUGCUUGGUUUAUGUAUUGGCAUUAUGCCAUUGUUCAACAUAUGAAUGAAAUCAACUUUGUUCAUCAAUAUUCUCUCAAAUUUCCUCAGCUUAUUUUCUUUUUUCUUCAACUCGAAAUUGUUUGUUUGCUCAGCAAGAUUCGAGGCUUGCUCGACAAGAAACUUGCUGAGUCUGUUUGAUUCUGCUGUUGCACCAACAAUAUACCUCCACUGUGCCAUUGUGUAUUUGUGUUCGAUUUUCAGUUCUGUCUCACAAUCCCUGUCAUGUCUUAUGAGUGAUUUUCUGGCUCUAAAUAUCUAUGAUAUAUUUGUGCAGGCAUUUCACUGAAGACUCAGGAACUCUAUGCUAUUGUCUUUGCUACUCGUUACUUGGACAUAUUCACUAAUCAUAUCUCGCCUUAUAACACAAUCAUGAAGCUAAUAUUCCUGGGCAGCUCUUUCUCAAUUGUAUGGUACAUGCGGUAUCACAAAAUAGUUCGUAGAUCUUAUGAUAAGGACCAGGAUACAUUUCGACAUUACAUCCUUAUACUCCCUUGCCUGAUUCUUGCCCUUCUUAUAAACGAGAAGUUCACCUUCAAAGAGGUAUCGACAUCCUUUUGUUUGUUGGAAUAUGAUAACAGUAUGUUCAUAUUAAUUACUGGUUAACUUAGAAGCUCCCUAAACUGUUUAUCUGUUUUAUAUUAAUUAUUCAUUAUUAUCCUUCUGGUUAUAUUUUUAUAUAUUGAUUAUUGUCUUAAAAAAAAUUGUUGAGCAGGUCAUGUGGACAUUUUCCUUGUAUUUGGAAGCUGUUGCGAUACUUCCUCAGCUUGUAUUGUUGCAAAGGACUAGAAAUAUUGACAACUUGACUGGACAAUAUGUGUUUCUCCUUGGGUAACCACUGUAUUCUUUAAAAAUCCUAAUCAGUUGCAAGUUUUCUAUUUUAUUACCUUGCAAUUUGCAUGAAGGACCCUUAUUUCCUGGCUCAGUUCCCUAAAAUGUUGCCUCCUUCCUGAGGAAACAAAAGAGAGAAAGUCUCUAAAUAGAGUUGCCAUCAUAUUGCCGCUUGGUUGCCACUGAUUUCUUUUUGAUGAAAAGUUGAUAUGAUUAUAUGUUGGACCAAAGUUAUCUAUUUUCAGAUGUGAUUAACUGCAGUUGAAUUUUGCGAGUAUGACUGUUCUUGUGUAACUUUUGUUAUGUGCUUUCAUGUCGUUUUUAGUCUUUUACACUGUGUUCUGUCUAUCUUUGUUUGCUAUUAUCCUAAGUUAGGAGACAAGGUGCCAUUAGGAGCAAUGUGACGUCAAAAUUCAUUUCCCUUUAGCCUUCAGUUCUACCUUUUCUUCCCUUUCUUUAUGUAGUUUUUGGGAGUUGGGGAUCACAGCGAUGAUAGUCGGUACAUGUGACUUGAAAGAUGCCUAAAAACUUCAAGAGCAUAGUGUUGUAUAAAUCUUUUGGAGAAAUUUUUUUGGUACAUUGAUGCCAACUUACAAUAACCCUUGCCACUACAACCGUGGCUUUGUUGGCUUAUGUAUGCACUCUCUUUGUCUUUAUAGGUCACCAAAUUCCUAAUGUCUAAUUCUUGGUUAUGGACUAAUAUAGUUGCUUGUUAUUGCAGUGCAUACAGAGCAUUGUACAUAGUGAACUGGAUUUAUCGGUACUUUACUGAAGACCACUUUGUCCACUGGAUAAGUAUGUACUCUUCUCUGUCUCCCUUCAUCUUUUACUCCAAGUCGGUAGCCAUGGGUGUAUGACGAGUGUGUCAAUAUAUCUACCCCAACACAUUUGUGAUAUACUAUGCUAUAUGUGUUAUUUCUAACACCUUGUUUACAUGAUUGCUGCCUUUCAGCUUGGAUUUGCGGUCUUGUCCAGACAUUGCUUUAUGCUGAUUUCUUCUACUAUUACUUCCAGAGGUAACCCCCUUUCUGACACUCUGGAAAGCACUUCAUACCUAUGUGAAUGAUUGCAACUUAUUUGAUUAUUAUGCCUGCAGCUUGAAGAACAACAUGAAGCUCCAAUUACCAGCUUGAGAUUUUAAUGGUGCAAGUUUUGUAGUAGCAUACAUAAACUUACAUCAUAUGGGUUCAAAUUUAUGAGUAUUUCAAUUAAUUUUAAUUUCACUAUGUUAUAUUGUAAUAUCAUGUAAAAAGUAUCAUAAAAGCAGGCAUAAGUUUUCCACCAAUUAGAACAUUUUGAAAAUUGAUGUCAAGCCCGAAAUGACCGUCACAAGUAAGCAUAUUAAACGUGUGAAGAGAAGACCUUAUUUUUCCACAUAACUAAAACUUUUUACACCAUAGGAACUUUCAUCGUCAUCAAGUUGGACAUGGAUGGAGCUCACGUAAAAAUAAUUUUUCAUAUAAAAACUAAAAACUAGAAAUUGACUUGUAAUAAUUCUCAAGGUUAAGGUUGACGUGGUCAAUAGUAAUGAACUUAUGUUUAAGGUUUGGGUUAUUUUUCUCAAUUAUAGAUUAGUAUUUUGUUCAUUGUAAACUUUGCUAACAAAAUUUAAUAUAUGACACAUAUCUGAUUUAAUUUAUUUUUAUUUUAUAAAACUUUCAUUAUUUGUUUUACUCAUUAAUGAAAUUUGGUGUGAAUACAUUAAAUAUUACCUUUUAUAUAUUUCACUCCCUCUUACUAUAUCUCAAUGGAGAAAUUGAAGGUCAUUCAAGGAAAUGGUAAUGUCCAUUUUCCACAAAACUAAAAUUUUCCACACGACAGAAACUUUCUUGGUCAAACAAGUUGGAUUUGGCUUCACCAAUAACUUAAUAAUCUGUACUAAAAUUUUCCACGCAAUAGAAUACGAACUCGUUCUCGUAAAUAUUUUAAAAAAUAAAAAAUUUAAUAUUAUGAGUUAACGAAUUAUCAAUUUAAUUAAAAAAAGUUGAAAGAUACAUUUUUUAAAAUUUUAUGAAAUUAUAUAUUAAUAUAAUUAUAAAAUUAUAGUUUUAACUUUAUAAAAUUUAUUAUUUAUCUUUGAUCUUGAAGAGAGACAAAGUAAAAUACCUAUUCUUGGAGCCAUAACGACAACUAGGAUUAUGAUUGCACAUUUUCUAAGUCUUCAUUUUUGUUAAUUAGGAAAGCUGAUGGGCAUCUCCACUAAGUUUCCACCCACAAGAAUAUACGUAUUAAUUUGUUUUUCUCAAUUUCCAUGAGGGGGGAUAUAAGCUUAAAGUUGACGUAGAAGUCAAUACUCAACAUUUGAAAGUUAAUGCAGUGAACUAUGUGCUUGUUGAUAUAUGAAAUGAUAUUUUCUUAACAAUUUCCUCCAACUAGUUCGUAGAUGGUGCUAUAUUACAUCACAAUGGGUAACCAAAUGUAUAUAAUUGAGAUUUUUAAGCAAAUAUUAUAUUUUAUCUUUAUCCAUGAAUAGUCUAAUAAUAAGGAUUAAUAUUUGGUACAUUGUCAGUGGAGUUUUUAAAUUCCAUAAGUAGGGUUAGAGGAUUGACACAUGCCAAUUUUUUAAUGUUGCUUGUGGGAUGCACUUGAAUUGUGGUUCAUAGAAGGAAAUUAUUAUAUAAAGGUUUAAUUCUACCAUAGUUCUUGUACUUUACUGAAGUUGUAGAUUUAAUUCCCAGACUUUAAUUUGAUAUUUUAGAUAUUUGUUAAAUUCAUAAAGUCCUACUAUUUCCAAAUUUGGUGUGGCAAACAUAUUAUCAUAGGUGUAAUAUCACUAAAAUUCAAAAGAAUGAGAAAUUUGUACAUAUUAUCAGAUGUCAAUAUCAAGUUGAGCAUUUCAAAAUCUAAAGUAAUAGUUCAAGUAUUUAUUUUUCCAUAAAACCAAAAUUUUCUACAUGAUGGCUUUUUUUUUGGCUAUUAGUUAAGAGGAAUUUUUUUAAUAACCCAAUUUAAUUAACUAAUUUAAAAAAUGGUUCAAGUAAAACUCAAGUCAUAUUAAAAAUAAUUAUUUAUAAAUUUUAUGUUUCAAAAACUAAUGAAUGUUCAAAGAAUAGUGAAUUAUUAAAGAGAAGUUAUAUGAUAAUGGAUUGUUUUAAAGUAGUGGUCUAGUAGAAAUAAAUAGUUUUUUAUAAAAAAAUAUUAUAUAAAUAAUUAAAUUUUAUAGUUACUCCUAUUUUUUUUAAAAAUAGUGAAUGUAAUAUUUUUUAAAAUGUUAAAUUAACUCAUGAUAUUAAUUAAAUCAAGAAAUUUUAUAAUAAUAGAGAUGAAAAAAACUAAAUUUUCAAAAUCAAAACCUAAAACGUGCAAGAAUAAAAGCAAUCUGAAGACUUAAAAUUUCCAUUAAUAAAACCAAAAUCAAAGAAGUAAAAUUUCCAUGAAUAAAACCAAAAAUGAAGACCUAAAUUUUCCAUUAAUAAAGCCAAAUCAAGACUAAGUUUGUAUAAGUGUAAGAAGGGUAUAAAGGAAACUCACAAGAAAGCCACAUGAAGAAUUUUAUAACUCCAACUACACGAUUUUAUGUCCACCUCUCACUUUUCAUAUUUUUUUUUGGCCAUUCAUUUUUCAAGAUUAACAUUAGCAUUCUUGUGGUCCGUUCAUCCUUUCCUAACCAAUUUCCACCAAGAGUUUUUGCAAUAAGGAAUUUACCUAAAUAAGAAACCUAGAUUGAUCCAAUUUUUGAGGAAUUAAUUAAUUAUAUAUUAUUUUUAUAUUAUAAUGAAUUAGUGGGAUGCAGUAUGUUCUGCUUGUAUAUAAAUAAGAAGCUUAGGCUUCUUUAGAUUAUAUACAUAUAGAAGUUAACAAAAAGUAACAUAUAGCUGAGAGAGAAGUGAAAAUAGAGAGAUGAUGAUGAUGGAGUGGAAAUGGUUAAGGUUUAUUAGGAUGGCAGUAAUGUUGUUGGUGUUAGAAGGAUGCAGAUGGUGUACUACUGAUGCUUGUUUGGAGCAUGAGAGAAUCGCUCUCUUGCAUCUCAAGCCUUUCUUCAAUUAUCAAAAUCAAUUGCAAAGUUGGGUUGAGGUGAAGGGUUCAGAUUGUUGUAAAUGGGAAAGAGUUGAGUGUAACACCACCACUAGGAGACUCAUACAACUCUCCCUUAAUUCUACAAGAUGGUUUGACAGUAUGGGAUACAAAACGGAUAAUAGGAAUCUCAAUGCCUGGUAUCUCAAUACCUCUAUGUUUCUUCCCUUUGAGGAAUUGAAGAGUCUUUAUUUGCGGGGGAAUGCCAUAAGUGGUAACCUUGAAAAUGAAGGUCGUGCCUCUAGUUUUUCCUUAAUUACAUCUUUUAUUAUCCCACUACUCUUACCAUCGUUAUUUUGCAAUUACUUAUAUUUUAUUUUAUUUUAUGGAAGAAAAGUCACUAACUUGUAUAUAUUUAAAAGAAUAUUUCUAUAGGCUUUGGAAAACUAUCAUCCACAUUGAGUAAUUUGGAGAUCCUUGACUUAAGUGAAAACUACUUGAAUGACAGCAUUUUGUUAUCUUUGAGUGAGCUUUCAUCUCUCUGGUAUUUAGAUCUAUCAGGCAACAAAUUUGAAGGAUCAAGCCAUCUAAGAGGUAAAUUAAGUUUGGUCUGGUAUUAGUUUUUAUUUGUAAAGUGGAGUUUGAGGAUGGUCUUCUAGUAAUUCCACUUUUGCUUUAGUAAAAUUUUCAUACAGCUAAGAAAGAAAAAACAAUUAACAAGUAAUUUUUAACUUUAAAAAUCAAUGUAUGUUCAUAUUCAAGGUAGACUGGUUUUAUAUGUUUCUUUUUUACUUUAAAACCAUUUUUUUUGUUUAAGGGACAGUUAAUGUUGCAAUAUGUCUUUGCUUUUAUCAUAUCAUGAAUAUAUAUAAUUGAUCAAUAUUUGGGAUUGAAUUUCAGGAUUGAAUAAUUUGACAAACUUGAAGUACUUGGAUUUAAGUUCGAACAGAAUUGAAAGCAUCUCAAACAAAGGUAUAAGUACAGUAUUUAUAUGUCAAUUCAUAUUAAAGGUAGACUGGUUUUAUAUGUUUCUUUUUUACUUUAAAACCAAUUUUUGUUUAAGGGACAGUUAAUGUUGCAAUAUGUCUUUGCUUUUAUCAUAUCAUGAAUAUAUAUAUAUAUAUAACUGAUCAAUAUUUGGGAUUGAAUUUCACGAUUGAAUAAUUUGUCAAACUUGAAAUACUUGGAUUUAAGUCGCAACAACGUUGAAAGCAUCUCAAACCAAGGUAUAAGUAUUUGUGCGUAGUAACUUUCUUGACUGACUAUUAUUCCAAAAGGCAAUGACAGACUUCAAAUGUAUUUUCUUUAGUGAAUUUUUAUUGCAAAAAUGGAGUAUUAUUAUUUAUUUAAGUUUUGUAGUAACUAAUUAUAUAAUAUAUAAAUGAGGUUUUCAAUGGCUCAUUAAAUUGGAAAUUAUUGAUAUAAGUUGGAAUUAUUUGAAGAAUAGCAUUCUUUAAAAUAAAUUCAUGUUGAAGGAAAAGUUGUUGCAAUAUGUUAUAUCAUGAAUAUAUAUAAGUAAUCAAUAUUUGGGAUUGAAUUUCAAAAUUGAGUAAUUUAAGUAGGAAGGUAUCUCAAACAAAGUAUUUAUAUAUUGAAUCAAUUCAUGGGAAAGCUUGUAAAUUGGCUCUUCCUUCUCAAACAAACAUUUUUCCUAACUAUUUAUAUAUUGAAUGAUGUUAACUAUACUAAUUACUUUCUUCCAAUGAUAGAUGGAACACAAUUGAGGCUAACAAAUUUAGAGGAACUUGAUUUGAGUGGUAAUCUCUUUCGGAACAACACAAUUUCCUUUCCUCAAGGGCUUUCAAGCCUAAAGUCUUUGACUUUGUUCAACAACCGUUUGCAAGGCUCAUUAGAUACUAAAGGUACUAAAGCUAUAACUUUGUUUUUCUUGAUAAUUCUUUCUAGAGCCUUUUAAAAUUAAUUGUUUCAAAUUUGAACAUUCACAUUUCACGUUUGAGGAUUUUUAUCUUCAAUUCAAGUUUUAGAUUUACUUUUUUUUUUCAUUUUUAUUUCAUUAAAAUAUUAAGUAGAAAUUAAAAUUAUUAACAUAAUGAUUUUUUGAAUUGGACGUGGAUAUGUAUAGGAUUGAGCAAUUUAACAAAUUUGAAGAAACUCGAUUUAAGAUGGAAUCAAAUUGAAAGCUUUCAAUCCUUUAAAGGUAUGCAUUUAUAUUUAACCAAUUACCUAAAUUCUUACAUAUAAUUAAAUUUUAUGCCAAUUCAUUUCAGUGAUGAAAUUAUAUAAAUCUUUUGUAGAUGGUGGUAGAAAAUUGGAGUUGACCCACUUGGAAGAGCUUAAUUUAGAUGGAAAUCACUUCAAUACUAGUGUAUUUGCAUCCCUUAACAAGCUUUCAAAUUUGAAAUCUUUGAGCAUAAGUGGGAACCAAUUGAAAGGAUCAAUAGAUAUGAAAGGUAAAUAUAUUAGUCUUUUUAACAAGAAUAUAAUAAUGUUUGAAGAGAAUAUAAUGAAGUUGAUUUGUUGUUUUUGUUUUCCUAGAUUUGGAAGCAUUUAUCAACUUAAGGGAACUAGAUAUGAGCGGCAAUGAAUUGAAAGAUUUGGUGAUCCACCAAGGUAUCAUUUAAUUAAACUUCCUUUUUUUUUUAAAUUUAGAAAUUUAGUUUUGAUGUCAAAUAUUAUAAUAACGGUUAUUGUCAUAAAUAUUAAUAAAGUAAUAUCAUAUCAUACUUGAAAGUAAAAUAUGGGUUUGGUGAAACAUUUUCUAAAUCAUCCAUUAUAAUGUGUUUGGACUUUGGUUUGAAACUAAAAUUCUUUAAAAUUUUCAUCAUUUUAAAAUAUUAAUGUUUAUAAUUAUUUUGUUUGUAUAAAUAUAUUUUUUAAAAUAAUUUAUUGAAUUUUUAUGAGAUAAAAAAUAAUUAUAACAAUAAAAAAUGAUAUUAUAAAUAAAUAAAAACAUAUAUUUAUGAGAAAAUAUGUAAUAUAACUAUAUUUUAAUUUCAUAUAUUUUUAAUAGUAUAAAACAUAAAAAUACAUAUUAGCGUUAAAUAAAUGGCAUUUUUUGGCAAAAAUAAAUAAAUGUCAAUUUUGAAUAAUUUAAAAAAAAUCUUUAAUUUUGUGAAAUUUAAGCAUACAUCGAGAGGUGCUUAAACUUCCAUUGCAAUCUUUUUAUAAAUUUCAAAGUGCAUAUGUUUUUAACUUUUUGGUUUAAAAAAAUAUGAUAGGUCUACGUACUCUUUACUAAUUUGUAAUUUAAUUCUUAUACUUUUAUUUUCAAGAAUUUAAUCCCUGUUUUUUUAUAAAAAAAAUCAAAAUCCUAGUUCAAUUGUUAAAAUUGUUAAAAUUUUAAAAUAGUUUGUUGGUGUGACAUUUUGAAAUAAAAAAAAAAACUUAGUAGUAAUGUAACUAAAAAAAUGACGUAAUGAACAUGGAUUUAAUAAAAUAAUUUUAACAAUAUUAAUAAAAUAAUUUUGAAUUUUGAAUUUUAACUUAACUCUAUUUUUGGGCCAAGAUUUAAUGCUUUAAAAUUUUCAUUUAAUCCGCUGAGUUUACUUAUAAUUCUUUUGAGUUUUAUUUAUUGGUGAGUAAAAUACCUAUUUGAUUUUUUUAUAUACUAUUGGCAUCUUUAAAGGUAAUAUAAUAAUUUUAGUGUAGACGUGUUUUAUUUUAUAAAUAUUAUUUAUAGUGUAGACAUGUGAAUUUUGAAUAAUUUAAAAAUAUCUUCAAUUUUAUGAAAUUUAAACAUACAUUUAGUGUAGACAUGUUUUAUUUUAUAAAUAUUAUUUAUAGUGUUGUUGAUUGGAGUUUGAAAAUUAUACAACUUAGCUAUAUCAGUUAAUUACUUAUAUUAAAAAAUAAUAUAAGAAAAUACUAAAAAGAAAAAAAAUAGUAUAAUUAAUAAAAUGGAUGAAGAGUUAUAUUAAAGUUUCAACAUCUUCUCUCUAUCAAAAUUUAUCUCAGAUAAAUCAUGAAUAAUCUAACUCAUAAAAAAUAUAUAUAUAUUUAUAUACUUCAUUUCAUUCACAGAAAAUAAAGCAUUCUACUUAGUAGAGGCUUUCUAUAAUACCGUUAUCUAAUACCUCUUGACAUUGCUUAGAUUCAAAUGUGUCGAGCAGUUUGGAGGAAAUAUAUCUUGACUAUUCUACUCUCAACACCAACAUUUUGCAAAGCAUUGGAGUAUUCGCUUCUCUUAAAACAUUGUCUUUAUAUCAUUGUGGACUUAUUGGUCCCUUACCUAAUCAAGGUAAAUAAUUUUAUGGCUCAAUUUGAUUUCUUUAUGAACUUUCUGUAAUAUAUUAUCUCCUAUUCUGUUUUAUAAAGCAAAAUUUAAUUGAAACUUCUUCCAUGAAUUUAUUUAUAAAAUUUUCAGGAUGGUGUGAUCUAAGGAACCUUGAAGUGUUGGAUGUGAGUGGGAAUGCACUUGAGGGGAUGCUUCCUCAUUGUUUUAGUAACUUGACAUCUCUUCGUGAGUUAUAUAUUUCAAGAAACCAUUUUCAAAUUCCGCUGUCAUUUGCACCAUUUGCAAACCUUUCAAACCUCAAAUCCCUUUGGAUUAAUGAAAACAAGAUGGUAAUGGAACCUUCCUUUUAUACCUCAAUCCCAAAGUUCCAAUUGGAAGUCAUCAGUUUGCUAAAGUGCAUAACAUCUCAACAACUCAGUCGUAAAGUUCCUACCUUCCUUUACUACCAAUAUGACUUGAGAUAUGUGGAUCUUUCGCAUAACAAUUUCAGCGGAACAGUCCCAACUUGGUUGUUAGAAAACAACACAAAAUUAAAAGUUCUUAUCUUGAAGGGUAAUUCUUUUACUGGUCCUCUCUCACUUUCGUCGGCUCUUAUUUCUAAUGUAUCUUCAAUUGACUUAUCUGAAAACAAAUUACAAGGUCAAAUUCCGAUUGGUAUAUGUUCAACUUUUCCACAUUUGAGUCAAUUAUUCUUAUCCAAGAAUGCUUUUGAAGGUAAUAUCCCACUUUGUUUAAGUGGCAUGAAGGACUUAUCAACUUUAGAUCUAUCAAACAAUCUAUUGUAUGGAAAAGUUCCAGAAGAGUUGAUCGCGAAAGGCUCACUGACCAUUUUGAGACUAUCAACUAACAACCUCAGUGGAAAUGUAGUUCCUGUGAUUCUCAGCGCAAAUGGGCUGGAGAAUUUAUAUUUGGAUGGAAAUAAUUUUUCAGGAGAGAUGACAAAUGUUGAUGUGUCUACUUUUGAGUUUCCAAAUUCACUACGGGAAAUUGAUCUCAGUAACAACAAGUUGCAUGGAAAGCUCCCAAGAUGGAUAGGGAAUGCAUCGUUUUUGGGGAGAUUAGCUAUGUCCAACAAUAGUUUUGAGGGUUCUAUUCCAAUGGAAUUUUGCAAGUUGAAUAGCUUGGAAUUUUUGGAUCUUUCUCAAAAUAAUUUAUCUGGCUCUAUACCGUCAUGUUUUAAUCCACCAUACAUAGAGUAUGUCCACCUCCACGGGAAUAGACUGAGAGGCCCACUAUCACUUGCUUUUUAUAAUAGCUCUUCAAUAGUGACUUUAGAUCUUAGAGGAAACAAUUUGACAGGUAGUAUUCCAAAAUGGAUUUACACGCUUUCUUCUUUGAGUGUUCUUCUCUUGAAAGAUAAUCAUUUUCAUGGUAAAGUUCCUAUUGAGUUAUGCAAGUUGCAUUCUUUAAGCAUCAUAGAUCUUUCUCAAAAUAUGUUUUCUGGUCCUAUACCUUCUUGUUUGGGAAAUUUAUCUCUUCCAAUGCAAACGAACAAGACUCUAGAAAUUGAGUUCUAUGGGCCAUCUAUAGAAGAGGAUGAAACAACACGCAGUAUGAUACUAAAUUUGGGAAUGGAUUCUUACUAUCCUGGUAGCUACUUAGAAGAAGUAAUAGAGUUCACAACAAAGAGUGGGUUCUAUUCAUACAAGGGCGACAUCCUUUCAUAUAUGACUGGGAUUGAUUUAUCUUGCAACAACUUAACUGGUCAUAUCCCACCAGAAUUAGGGAACUUGAGUGAAAUCCAUUCUUUAAACCUUUCACACAAUAAGUUGACCGGAGUUAUACCCUCGUCACUCUCGAAACUACAUCAAAUUGAGAGUUUGGACCUUUCUUACAACAACUUAAGUGGUGAAAUCCCCAAUCAAUUGGUAGAGUUAAACUCUUUGGAGGUUUUCAGCGUGGCAUUUAACAACUUGUCAGGUAGUAUUCCCGAACCAAAAGCUCAAUUUGGGACCUUUAUUGAAAAUAGUUAUCAGGGAAAUCCGUUU